rnacentral:rRNA from 1 species
CUUGCUUCUCUGAUGUUAGCGGCGGACGGGUGAGUAACACGUGGAUAACCUACCUAUAAGACUGGGAUAACUUCGGGAAACCGGAGCUAAUACCGGAUAAUAUUAUGAACCGCAUGGUUCAAAAGUGAAAGACGGUCUUGCUGUCACUUAUAGAUGGAUCCGCGCUGCAUUAGCUAGUUGGUAAGGUAACGGCUUACCAAGGCAACGAUGCAUAGCCGACCUGAGAGGGUGAUCGGCCACACUGGAACUGAGACACGGUCCAGACUCCUACGGGAGGCAGCAGUAGGGAAUCUUCCGCAAUGGGCGAAAGCCUGACGGAGCAACGCCGCGUGAGUGAUGAAGGUCUUCGGAUCGUAAAACUCUGUUAUUAGGGAAGAACAUAUGUGUAAGUAACUGUGCACAUCUUGACGGUACCUAAUCAGAAAGCCACGGCUAACUACGUGCCAGCAGCCGCGGUAAUACGUAGGUGGCAAGCGUUAUCCGGAAUUAUUGGGCGUAAAGCGCGCGUAGGCGGUUUUUUAAGUCUGAUGUGAAAGCCCACGGCUCAACCGUGGAGGGUCAUUGGAAACUGGAAAACUUGAGUGCAGAAGAGGAAAGUGGAAUUCCAUGUGUAGCGGUGAAAUGCGCAGAGAUAUGGAGGAACACCAGUGGCGAAGGCGACUUUCUGGUCUGUAACUGACGCUGAUGUGCG